UUACAAAGCAGAUAUGUCUAUUAUUACAAUAUAUAAUAUGCAUUCUUGGAUAAGUAGAGCUUCACACAAUUGGCUUCAAUUGGCUUCGUACUUCAACUUUCUUAGGCCUGGAGGUCCUGUAGAAGAAACAACCAUAUUUUUAAAAGCUACAAGAUACAGAUCAAGAAUAGAAACAAGGCACAAAAACUGCAUAACAGUUAUAAUACAGCUAUUUGUUUUAGUUCGUACUACUACUGUAAUCGAUGCAAAAAAAACAUACUACUACUGUAAUUGACAUAAAAACCUUGAAAGAGACAAGCAGAAGUCAAAACAUAUUUUUAGAACAGAUAUUUGCAUUAAAAUUAGGCAUUAAAAAUAAUGGACACAAAUAUUUGCAUUAAAGAUUAGGCAUUGCACACCCAGCAGAAAGAUACAAGCAGAAGUCAAAACAUAUUUUUAGAACAGCUCAUGACUACCAACAAUAAUGUAAAAUCCAGAUCCUACAUCUUCAUCCAUUUGGAUGUUGGCAUCAUAGCAUGCUUUGCUCAACCAUAGCAUGCUUUCCAUGAUGGAAAGAGACUCUACAGCAAUAACACAAUAGACAACCAAGAAGCAUCAAACUUAACUGCAAAAUUAAAGAAUAGGUGCAAGAUAAUGAAUAUUUGAUCCAGUGUCAGCCUAUUCAUGACAACACAAUAGCUGACUAAUUCUCUUUGACAAUAACACAGAUGUAAAAACAUAUACUGCAAUAUAUGUUACUACCGAAUAUAUAUACCUGAACAGAGUUCUUCUUUUCGAUCGUCAAGCUGCGAAGCAGUCUGAUCAUCUUCUGUAAUGGCAAAUGUCACUGGUGUCAGCUGAUAUCACAAGAGAGCUACACUUUCAAACAUUUUAGAUGGACAACUGCAUAAAUAAAAAAUGCAUAUACCAGACUCGGGACUAAUCCUCAACACCUUAACUGUAGUCAAUAAUUAUCAGUACUAGAUCAUGGAAGGCGCGCGUUGCCGCGCUCAUCUGUUUUUGUAAUAGAAUGGUUGUUGCCAGUACACAUAAAACAUGGGACUUAAAUUUUCAUAAAGUUACACAUAUAUUUGUUGGUUACCAAAGAGCAGAAUUUAAUGAGUUCACGGGGAAAUAAUAAUUCGGUGCUAGGUGACCAUAGAACUUGCAAACACAAAAUAUUGGGAAUAAAUCCCUAAAAUAAUCUUAUAGGCACAGAAGCCAUAUGUGCUGAAACUUUAAGGACAAAAUACAAAUUACCAAUUGGGAAGAAGCUUCUCAAUAUAUCGCAGAGAAAGAAAUAGCCACCUCAUUCUUAGAAAUUAAAGAUUUCAUUCAUUAGAAACUUGAUAUCAGUCGUGUUAGGAAAGCAACUUAUAUUCCCAUGAGGCCAUAGGCCGAUAUAUAUACAUGUACAGGUGAUGGACUAUAUGCAGGAAAACCCCUUAUAUAUUGGGAUAAAUACAAAAGGGUACAUGACUUGUAUUAUAACUCUAACACCCCCCCCCCUCAAACUCAUGGUGGAUGAACAACACUAAGUUUGGAGAGAUAAAAGCCAUGUUGUGCUCUAGUCUGGGCCUUCGUCAGGAAAUCCGCCAACUGUAACUCGGAAGGCACAUACUGAAGAGCAACAACCUGAUCCUGCACAGCAGCGCACACAUAGAAAGCAUCAACACCAAUAUGCUUGGUGAGCUCAUGCUUCACAGGAUCGCGCGCAAUGCUAAUAGCACCUGUACUGUCAGAUAAGAGCAGAGUCGGUGUAGUGACAGAAACACCAAAAUCCUGAAGUAACCAUCGUAACCAAGUCACCUCUGUCGUCAAAAGAGCCAUCGCUCGCAACUCAGCCUCUGCACUCGAACGGGAAACUGCAAUCUGUUUCUUCGUCUUCCAGGCAAUGAGAGAACCACCAAGAAAAACAUAGUAAGCAGAAAGUGAACGGCGAUCUGAAGGAUCACUAGCCCACGUAGCAUCCGAAUAGGCCUGAAGCUAUAAAGAACUGGAGCGAGGAAAGAAUAAACGGUGAGAGAUUGUGCCCCGAAGAUAUCGGAGAACACGGAGGAGAUGACUAUGGUGAACCGAUGUGGGAGUAGAGACAAACUGACUCAGAAUAUGAACCGGAUAAGAAAUAUCCGGACGAGUGACAGCUAGACAAACAAGACUGCCAACAAGAUGACGAUAGCGUGUUGGGUCAGGCAGGGGAUCACCAUCAGUAGCAGAGAGGUGAACAUUGAGCUCCAUAGGAGUCUCAACAAUGCGCUCAUCAGUAAGAGCAGCACGAGCAAGAAGAUCCUGGAUAUACUUUUCUUGGGAUAUAAAAAAGCCAUCAGAGGUAGAAGAGACUUCAAUCCCAAGAAAGUAGCGAAGAGGUCCAAGAUCAGACAUAAGGAACUGCUCACUAAGACGAGCCUUGACAAAGGCAAUAUACUCAGGGUCAUCCCCAGUGAUGACCAUGUCAUGAACAUAAAGAAGAAGAAGAGUCCGACCACGAGGAGAAAGGUGAAUAAACAAUGCUGGAUCAUGAACACUGGGUGAAAAACCAGCGGCAGUCACCACAGAGGCAAAACGCUCAAACCAGGCUCGGGGGGCUUGCUUAAGGCCAUAGAGAGAGCGACGAAGACGGCAUACCAUGCCAUCAGGAACAGAAUACCCAGGUGGAGGCUACAUGUACACCUCCUCACGUAGCUCACCAUUAAGAAAAGCAUUCUUAACAUCAAGCUGAGAGAUAGACCAGUGGCGUGUAGAGGCCACGACAAGAAGUGUACGAACAGUGGUCAUAUGAGCCACAGGAGCAAAAGUCUCGUGAUAAUCACGAUCAUGCUCCUGCUGAAAACCACGAGCCACAAGACGAGCUUUGUGACGCUCAAGAGAACCAUCGGAGCGAGCCUUUACCUUGUAGACCCACUUACAAGUGAUGGGACGGACUCCAGGAGGAAGGGAAACAAGAUCCCACGUACCUGUGCGUUCAAGAGCAGCAAUCUCCUCAGCCAUCGCAAACUGCCAUUCAGGAUGAACAACAGCCUGAUGAUAAGUAGUCGGCUCAAGAACAGCAGCUCCAGCGAUGGAAAAUCCUAAGCGAUCAACAGGCGGACGAGGACAAGAACGCAAGCCAUAAGUAGGCUGAGACGAGGAUGACGGCACAUCCAGAGAGGCAUCCACAAAACGUGAACGACGAGUGUAACACUGAGGAAAAGAUGGAACAAUGGAAGGAGGAAUCGCUAAAGUAGAAUCGGAGAGUGGCGACGAAGAAGUCACCGGAGAUGAAGGUGUAGAAUCCGGUGACAUGCUAGACGAGGAGACCGUGGAAGAUGGUGGUGACAAAUCGACUGGAGGUGGAGAAGCAGAGGGAGCGGAAUGAGUAGGCAAAGGCUCGACGAGUGUGAUAGGCGUGUCAGGAAAAGUGAGAAAAGAGAUAUCCUCCACUGAAAAAGUCGUGGAAGAUGGGCGUGGGUAGAAGGGACGAGACUCAUCAAAAGUCACAUCCCGAGAGAUACGUAUCUGACGACCGAUAGGAUCCCAACAACGAUAGCCCUUAUGCUCAUCACUAUAGCCUAAGAAGACACACUCAACAGACUGAGCGGUCAGUUUGGUGCAUUCGCGGGGGGCAAGAAGAACAUAGAAAACACAACCAAACAAGCGAAGCGUCGAAUAAUCGGGAGACCGAUCAAAAAGACGCUCGAAAGGAACACCACCCUGUAGAGCAGCGGAAGGCUAGAAAUUGAUGAGAUAGGUGGAGGUGGAGACAGCCUCAGCCCAAAAAUGAGGCGGGAGAGAGGCAGCAAUCAUCAAUGCACGAGCCGUCUCAAGAAGAUGACGAUGCUUGCGCUCAGCCACGCCAUUCUGAGCGUGAGCACCAGGACAAGAGAAUUGAGAGAGAGUCCCUUGCUCAGUAAGAACACAACGCAACAUCUUAGAGAUAUACUCGCCAGCGGAGUCAACACGGAACACACGAAUGGGAGAAGAGAACUGAGUAUGAACCAUGGCAGCAAAACGCUUAUAAAUGGACAACACCUCACUACGAGAAGUCAUGAAAUAAAGCCAUGUGUAACGACAGAAGUCAUCUAUGAAAAUAAUAUAGUAUUUAUGACCCCCUUUCGAAGCGAAGGGAGCCGGACCCCAUACAUCGGGAUGAACUAAAUCAAAAGGAUGCUUAGACACUGACUCACUAUGUGGAUAUGGUAACUGAAUCUGCUUGCCAAGACGACAACCCUGACACUCUAAAGAGGCAUCUCCUGAGACAGACCCCAGAAGACCUCGACGAACUAACGACGACAAACGAGAACCACACAGAUGACCAAGUCGAUGAUGCCACUGCUGGAAGGAACCAGUAGCCGAGGCGACCAAAGCAGAAGAACUGGCGAUAGAGUGGGCAGCGAAAGGAACAUGAAGCCAGUCCAACUCCCAAAGACCUUCAGAAUCACGGCGGCGAGGACCAGCCCCAACCAGAGUGUGUGUGCGACGGUCCUGAACAGAACAAGAGUCAAGGUCAAGGAUGACACGACAACCAGAAUCAGCAAGUUGACCAGCGGAAAACAAAUUCAUGGUAAGUGGAGGAAUAUGAGCAACAUCAGGAACAGAGUAAGAAGGAGUGGUAAGAGUGCCUCUACUAACGACAGGAAGGGGAGUACCAUCAGCGGUUAGGACAUGAACAGGAGAAUCAAGUGAUCGAAGAGAGGACAGAGUGGAAGAAUUAGAAGUCAUAUGGAAGGAAGCUCCAGAGUCCAGAACCCAUGGGGAUGUACCUGAUUGUGUAGAAGGUGGUUGCUCAGUGCGGGAAGCCUCAGUCACAGAACCAGCAGUACCCGUCGAGGAAGAACCCGAAGCAGCGAGCAGACGCUUAAGUCUCAGAAUAUCCUGCUCAGUCAAAGCGAUGGCUGAAGCUGUCGAGGUAGAUGACGAGGUCUCUGUAGAUGAUGAGCGCGCCUUGCGCAAGUGUUUCUUCUUCGUGUAGCAGUUGGACUCAAUGUGACCAUCAUUGUUGCAGUAGCCACAAUGUGGACGGGGCCGACCUGAGCCUCUAGAAGGUGUGGGCAAGAGCGGCGGAGCACUCAAGCGAGAAGGGGUCGGUGCAGCAGAUGGCUUAGAAGUAGCCCGAGCAGCGAGUACCGAGGGAACCUCCAGCAAACCAGCACCACGUAAGCGAGUCUCCUCAGCACGGAUCUCAGAAAGCGCCUCCAUGAGAGAGAUACAGCCACGAGCAAACAACUGAGCACGCCGGGGCUCAAACUCCUUACGGAGCCGAGACAGGAACUCGUAGACGCGAUGAAACUCCAAAUCAGCCUGGACAGCCUGGCAACAGGGGCAAGUACGACAACCAGCACUGCGGAGAGAAUCAAGCUGGCGCCAGAUAGCAGAACUCUGUGCAUAGAAGUCAUCAACAGUGGAGUCACCCUGCUGAAGAGCAUGCUCCUGACGGACCAUAAGAGGCAUAAGGCAUCACCCGAGGGCUCAUAGCGCUGACAAAGGCGAGUCCACAUCUCAAACACAGUAGGGAGGCCCAGAAACUCAGAGGCAAACUGAGGCAGAACGCUAGCAGUGAGAACAGCUGCAGCACGAGCAUCAUCAUCAAGCCACUGGGUGUAAGCAGACAGAGCACCAUGAUACGUCUGAAGGGCCUCCUCAUAAGCCAAAGCCUUCUCAUCAAGUACGGAUAGCGGCCUCAUCAGCAAGCUUAGCCGUAUCCUUUGCGGCCUGAGAAGCAUCCGUGGGAAGAGCCGGUGGGGUCGGCGGAGUGGGAGCCACGGGAGGAACCGGGCAUGGCGGACAACAGACCUCGCCAGAAAGAAAACCCCAUAGGCGGAUGCCACGCAUGUGAAUGCGCAUGAAGCCAAUGAACUCGGUGUAAUUAGUGCCAUCAAAGAUCACCGGACAACGAGGAACAGCAACGUAGCCGGAUGAAGCAGACGAUUUUUUUUCUCUUUUUUUUUACUCAGUCAACGAACCGCGUGAGACAGCAGGACUCGAACUGGGACAGCCUCGGAUGCGAUCUGGUGAUGAUGGAGUCGAGGGCCUCUGCUGAUGGGAACAGCGUCCGCGAUCUGGCUAGAUGGUGGGAACAGCUGCCACGGGGCUGGUGCGAUCUCGCUCUGCUGCUGGGACACGGGGUGGUGGGAACCGCCUGAUGGGAGCAGAAUCCGCGUCACCUGCAGGAGAGGCAGCCACCAGCAACGAAGGAUUCCGCCCACCAGCAACAAAGGAUUCCGCCAUGAGCGGAAGCAGCAGCAACUGCACGACUGCGGGUGCGGAACUGACGGAGCGGUGUGGGAUCGGCGGCUUCUGCUGCGNAACAGCUAGAUGUAGCCGGCCGAGACCGAAUUCAAUCUGGACCCGAGUUUGAUCUGGAAACCAAAAUCGGGCAGUGGGAUGGAGAGGGAUCCGGCGGGGACGGGGGUUGGAGACGACCGGGACGAGCUGGAGACCCGGCUGCAGCACGAGCACGACGUGGGAAGGGGCGUCGGUGAGAGAGGCUGCAGUGAGAGUGUCGAGAAGGAGGAAAAACACGAGUUGCGCGUGCGAAAAAAGAACCUAGGGCUCUAAUACCAUGUUAGGAAAGCAACUUAUAUUUCCAUGAGGCCAUAGGCCGAUAUAUAUACAUGUACAGGUGAUGGACUAUAUGCAGGAAAGCCCCUUAUAUAUUGGGAUAAAUACAAAAGGGUACAUGACUUGUAUUAUAACUCUAACAAGUCGUACGUGUUACAUUCUAGCAACAAUUAGUUGACAACAUUACUAAAAACAUCCCUGCCACGAUGUAGGAGUCAUUCCUUGUUAAGAUGCAGCGUGAGCCACUCUUAACAGUGGGCAUGAGAUUCCUGAAUCUAGAGGCCUCCUGGAAACAGUACAAAGACAGUGGGCAGCGUAAAUGCAUGAGACCAUGGGAAAGAUAAGAUCCUGUCACGACUAAUUGAUCAACUGAAAGAAAAGAACUAAUGCUCUGCCUGAGUUCUACAUCAAAUAGAUGUGCUCUUCUAUCAGGGCUAGGUCAUGUACCAUCAACCCCAUCCAACAUAUUGGCAAAAAAACAGAACUUUCUGGAUCAAACUUAGAUUCCAUCAAAAGAUUAAAGAAAAUAAAGGCACACUUUGCGGGGGUACAUUACAAGCUUAAUUGUGUUAAUUACUUUAGGAACAUCAUCUUCGUCAAUAACAACAUUCCUCCCUGCAGCAAACCUUUAUGUUCUCAGCAAUCAAUAGCAAUACAAGAAAAUAAAACAAAUUGUUCAGGCAUAUGUGAUCCCAACAACAUGAGCAGCAUCUAUAUCAAUGAACAAAUGGUAACAGAUUUAACAAGGAAGAGCAAGCAGGCAGAGGGCAUCAUUUGGCGAUCCUAUAUCUGAAGUAACAGUGUGUCAAGUCCAUUUGCAAUAUCCACUAGUACACUGUAUAUGAGACUAAAACAAUUCAUUGGAAGCUUUAGAAUUCACAUAACAUUGAAUUUCACUAUCAAAUUCGCAAGAACUUUACAGUUGCAAGACAGCAGUUACGAUAGUGAGAAAACAAGCAAUUUUCUGACCCAAAAGGAAGCAAGCAAAAAAACACACACACCUUUGGAACGAGAGUGACCGAGACGGCAUCAGCGAGCUUGUGGAUGCCAGUGGCGAGCCCGCGCCAGCAAGCGUCGCCGGUGGAUAUCACCUUGACGUCCGCAACGCAUCAUGGUUGUCGGACCUAAUUGAGAAGGAGGCUCGGCAGUGGCCGCUGGAACUCUACCAGCGUCGCUGUACUUGACUAAUGGGUUGAGUGGGUACCAUAAAAGAGCUCUAAUUCAGAGCCCAAGCGUGGGAGCAGCAUCACCCAGAGCAGGCCCUGAUCAAUACUUGUAGAUAUAUAUUACUAAUACAGUUAAUAGCCAAAAGAAAUAAACAGAGCAGGGAUGUAGACAUGCAUCGCCUAGUUACCCUCCGGUCUCGUCGCCGGCGGCGCCGCCAGGCGAUGACGACGCGGCCUUGGGCGCGGCGGACGGCAGCACGAACGUGACCUCGGUGGCCAUCUCCUGCUUGCACCGCGGGAUGCAAUCAGCGUCAAAAAAGGGUGCACAGAUCGAACUCACAAGCCAACAAGGGGAAAACGAAAAAACAAAAAAA
rnacentral:lncRNA from 1 species